GAAUAUUGGACAAUGGGCGCAAGCCUGAUCCAGCCAUGCCGCGUGAGUGAUGAAGNCCNNAGGGUNGNAAAGCUCUUUCACCGNNNNNGAUAAUGACGGAAACCGGAGAAGAAGCCCCGGCUAACUUAGUGCCAGCAGCCGCGGUAAUACGAAGGGGGCUAGCGUUGUUCGGAAGUACUGGGCGUAAAGCGCACGUAGGCGGAUUAUUAAGUCAGGGGUGAAAACCCGCAGCUCAACUGCGGUACUGCCUUUGAUACUGGUAAUCUAGAGACCGAGAGAGGUAAGUGGAACUCCUAGUGUAGAGGUGGAAUUCGUAGAUAUUAGGAAGAACACCAGUGGCGAAGGCGGCUUACUGGCUCGGAACUGACGCUGAGGUGCGAAAGCGUGGGGAGCAAAC
rnacentral:rRNA from 1 species